AGGGAUUUAGCUCAGCGGCAUAAGCACCUGCCUUGCAAGCAGGCGGUUGUGAGUUUAGUCCCUG
rnacentral:tRNA from 1 species